rnacentral:tRNA from 1 species
GCCCUGGUGGUGCAAACGGUUAAGCACUCAGCUGCUAACUGAAAGGUUGGUGGUUCAAGCCCACUCAGCGGCU